UACGAUAAAUGGGUGCCGAUUCAAUUUGUAUUGCGAUUUUCAUUUAUUACGAUUUGAUAGUAGUGAGUAUUGCGAUUUUCUUUUCCUUCUUUGACAAAAACAAAAAUUUAAUAAAACAU